rnacentral:rRNA from 1 species
GAUGAAUGCUGGCGGCGUGCCUAAUACAUGCAAGUCGAGCGGCAGCGCGGGUAGUUUACUACCUGGCGGCGAGCGGCGGACGGCUGAGUAACGCGUGGGAACGUGCCCCAAAGUGAGGAAUAACUGCCCGAAAGGGUAGCUAAUGCCGCAUAUGCUCUUCGGAGUAAAGCUUUAUGCGCUUUGGGAGCGGCCCGCGUCCGAUUAGAUAGUUGGUGAGGUAAUGGCUCACCAAGUCGACGAUCGGUAGCUGGUCUGAGAGGAUGAUCGAGAGCCAGACUGGGACUGAGACACGGCCCAGACUCCUACGGGAGGCAGCAGUAAGGAAUCUUCCACAAUGGGGGCAACCCUGAUGGAGCAACGCCGCGUGCAGGAUGAAGGCCUUCGGGUCGUAAACUGCUUUUAUGAGUGAAGAAUAUGACGGUAACUCAUGAAUAAGCACCGGCUAACUACGUGCCAGCCGCCGCCGUAACAC